UACGUAGGGUGCAAGCGUUAAUCGGAAUUACUGGGCGUAAAGCGUGCGCAGGCGGCUGUGCAAGACAGAUGUGAAAUCCCCGGGCUUAACCUGGGAAUUGCAUUUGUGACUGCACGGCUAGAGUGUGUCAGAGGGGGGUAGAAUUCCACGUGUAGCAGUGAAAUGCGUAGAGAUGUGGAGGAACACCGAUGGCGAAGGCAGCCCCCUGGGUCAAAACUGACGCUCAUGCACGAAAGCGUGGGGAGCAAACAGG
rnacentral:rRNA from 1 species